CCGGCAUGUAAAGGUCCAGAUUUUGACGGUCAACCUAUGUCAAGAUUUUUACAGCUUCUUUCUCUCAGGCUGGGCCAGAUGCCAGUGUCACACUUUGGUGUUUGUUAUGUGGAAAGUACUAAUUUAGUCUGAGGCAACAACACAGGUGGUGGGAUUCUUUUGCACUGUGAGUUGAGAUAUACAUACCAGCUUUCCAAAACAUUUGACCUGGUUAAGAUAUUUUGAACGGUAUGUGCACUACAGAGCUUUGAACUUCGUGCUUGAGGUCGGACAAACAGACACAUCUCCAAGAUAGGGGUACCCCAAGUUAAAUUCCUCCUACUCAAAAGUUUUUGCAUGUAUCAAGCUGUAACUUUAUGUGUGAGGUUUAGAGGUAGUAAGCAUUAUGUGGUGCAAAAAUUAUUGAUUUUGAAAAAAGUUGGCUGGUGUGAUAGGACACAGACCCCCAUUACAACUUCCGUUUUUCAGUAGGGACGAUUGUAGUUCUGUGUAUUUUAGGGUGUAAAGUCUUUUUUUGCUGCCAGCCUGCCGUUUUUGGUGUACAAGUGCAUGCUUGGUAUCAAAAUGAUGGAAAUUGUCUAAGCUUUGGGCAGGUAUGAGUUUUAAUGGUGAAAGUUUGAAAUUCUGGGCGAGA